UGGGGAAUAUUGGACAAUGGGCGCAAGCCUGAUCCAGCUAUGCCGCGUGGAUGAAGAAGGCCUUCGGGUUGUAAAGUCCUUUCGUUGGUGACGAUAAUGACGGUAACCAAAGAAGAAGCCCCGGCUAAUUUCGUGCCAGCAGCCGCGGUAAUACGAAAGGGGCUAGCGUUGUUCGGAAUUACUGGGCGUAAAGCGCACGUAGGCGGCCUUGUAAGAUGGGGGUGAAAUCCCCGGGCUCAACCCGGGAACUGCCUUCAUGACUGCAAAGCUUGAGGAUGUGAGAGGUUGGCGGAAUUCCGAGUGUAGAGGUGAAAUUCGUAGAUAUUCGGAAGAACACCAGUGGCGAAGGCGGCCAACUGGCACAUUUCUGACGCUGAGGUGCGAAAGCGUGGGGAGCAAACAGG
rnacentral:rRNA from 1 species